AUGUUGAAGUGUGAGGAUGUGGUGGGUCCUUCUAUGUGAAAUUCAGGGUUUCCCUGGGUCUUCUGGUAGGAAAUGUGAUCAAGUGUGUUGACCACACAGGAGUGAAAAAUCUGUAGUCAUCUCUGUGAAUGAGAUCAAGCGACAGCGAAACUUUCUGCUGGUGUGGGUAACGUGGUGAUGGCCAUGGUCAGUAAGGCGAGCCAGAGCUCAGAAGGAAGGUGCAUCCAGCAGUGGUCAUGUGACAACAGAAGUCAUGCCAGAGAAAAGAUGGCUUGUUUCUUUAUUUUGAAGAUAAUGCCAGGGUUGUAGUAAGUAAUAAACGUGUGAUGAAAAGUUCUGUCAUCACAGGGCCAGUUGCAAAGGAGUAUGCAGCCAUGUGGCCCAGGCUGACGUCCAAUGCUGGCAGCACUGCCUGA
rnacentral:lncRNA from 1 species